rnacentral:misc_RNA from 1 species
CUACUUGCGUAGCAACUUCCUUGCGUGCUUACCUCUUCAAUUGUGCUACAAGCCCUUGUUUGGCUUGGAUCAUUUAGUGGGUUUCCUGUGUUGCAUACCUMAUUUAUGGUAUUGUUGGCUCUAUAGAAGUUUGAUUUCAUAAUGCGUUGCUUGCAGCGUGAUAUGAACCAUGAAGCUGCCUCCGUUGUCCAACCAGUCGUUGCUUAUGCAUCGAUGGCAUGGCCCAUGGAGUGUUGCUUGGUCUCUUGGAUAUGGAACAUCAUGUGGGCACAGGUCUUCGCAGACCAUGUCUUUGCCCUUGUUGAGCAUUGUAGCUUCUUUGAAUGACCGUCCACUUCGCAGACCGAUUGGUGUGUUGUGGAUUGUGUCGUAGAGGAGUGCUCCUAGCUUCUUCGAAUGACCGUCCACUUCGCAGACCGAUUGGUGUGUUGUGGAUUGUGUCGUAGAGGU